UCCCUGGUGGCUCAGAUGGUAAAGAAUCUGCCUGGAAUGCAGGAGACCUGGGUUCAAUCCCUGGGCUGGGAA
rnacentral:tRNA from 1 species